rnacentral:rRNA from 1 species
AUUGAACGCUGGCGGCAGGCCUAACACAUGCAAGUCGAGCGGAGCGGCGGACGGGUGAGUAAUGCCUAGGAAUCUGCCUGGUAGUGGGGGAUAAAGUCCGGAAACGGGCGCUAAUACCGCAUACUAUCAGAUGAGCCUAGGUCGGAUUAGCUAGUUGGUGGGGUAAAGGCCUAUCAAGGCGACGAUCCGGAACUGGGCUGAGAGGAUGAUCAGUCACACGUGAACUUAGACACGGGCCACAGCCCGACGGGGGGCAACAGUGGGGAAUAUUUGACAAUGGGCGCAAGCGUGAGCCAGCCAAGCGGCGUGUGUGAAGAAGGGCUUUGGGUUGUAAAGCACUUUAAGUUGGGAGGCGUUACCAACAGAAUAAGCACCGGCUAACUUCGUGCCAGCAGCCGCGGUAAUUC